rnacentral:lncRNA from 1 species
CUCUCUCAAACGAUUUGAAGGUUAGAGAACCCUUGUUAUGCAUUCACUUGCCUCCAUGGCUAAGUGGCUUAACCCCAACCAUGUUGUGGGCACCCUCUUACGGAGGAGUGACUUUGACAUAGUCAAAGAUCAAGGACUUAACCAUAAGACAACUAUGAUGCCUCAGGUCAAAUGACUACUUUACAUUAUCUCAACCAUGAGUUCUCAUGUGACAUGAGUAUGAGAACUCUUUGUUGAUCGCGUUCAGUUGACUCAUUCUCUAUUGAGCACCUACGUACUUGUCUUGGUGUUAGUCACACCAAUGACUCGAGACCAGUCACUCUCCUUACACCAAUAACUCGAGACUAGUCACUCUCCAUGGGAGAAGACAUAUCACGUACUGAUCUUAACGGAUUGUCAAUGCCCAAUUGGCAAUCCUAUGAUCAGGAACGUUUAGGAUAUGUUUACGAAAGGGAAUGGUUUCAUGAAUCUAACUUCUUUAGAUCACAUUCUCCCAAUUACAUAUUCCUUGAACUUAUCGUUUAAGCAUAUAACAUUUAUAUGAGACGGCUUUAAACAAUAAUAUUUGCUCUUUAUAUUAAACUAGAUUAAUUUCGCAUGUGAAAUGUUCGUAAAGUAUCAUCAUAUGAUUGGCUUUAGGGCACAUUUUCAACAAAUAAUAGUUCUUAAAAAAAAUUACUAAAUUUCACUUAAAUAUUUGUACGAAGAAAAAUACUAGACCACGGUCGAAAAUUUCCUGGUUGCUUUAUUACUUACGUUUCAUAAACAAAUUUGGGCCGUUCAAACCCUUAAGGAUGCAAACUGCUCGCAAAAGGUUAAUGUUUUUAUUUUUUAACAAAUAUGUGGAAACUGAAUAUUCCCAACGUCAAACUGUUUAGCUGGUUAAUGAUCCUGAUUAGGUUACAAACCCGGGUUAGGUUAACUUACAUAAACAUAUUAGCUCAAUUUGUCCUAACUGCCGUCCUUUCUGUAAUAUAGAGUGAGGAUCAAGAUCAUCUGUUUAUCAAGUGUAAUUUUGCAAGACAGGUUUGGGUUACAACCCCUGGUAUCACCUGUUAAUGACAAUAAUCCUAUUGCUCUGUUAGAUUGGUUGAGUAAGCUUGAUGCACCGGUUUAGAGAUUUUUUAUGCCUGGGGCGACGCCAAAAAAUAUGCCCUCAUUUUAUAUAAGAAAUUAUUUGUUUUCACACAUAAAACAUCGAUAAAAUUAUGCUUAGAAAAGCAAGUUAAUAAUUUAGAAACACGGAAAAACUAAUUUAUUUUGUUUCGUGAGAAGGAAACAAAAAAAAAACUCUGGGUUUACAAGUAGAAAGAUAUGAGUUUUGUUUUCCAUCUGAACUUUUAAAAUGUUUUUGUAUAAAUCGUGAGGUGUUUUUUCUUAUUUACUAACCUUGUCAAUAUGGGACUAAAAAAAUAAUGAUGUUUUUGAGUCUUUAAUUGAUAUGUAUAAGUAAUAAAUGGGUACUAAAUUAAACUUUUUUAUGACACGUUAUAUGAUUUGCAAAUUUGGUCUAAAAAUUUGGUCAACACAUUAUUCUUUGUUGAAGAUUAGACUUGAAUUGGAACAAAUGUUUAAAAAUAACAACCCACAUAGCUACUAGCUACUAAUUAAAAAUAAAUUAACAACCAAACAAAAUUCGUAAAAAUUGAAAAAAAUAAACAUGCACUUAGCACAACAAAAAACCAUUGAUUCUAAUAAUUCUUGAUCAUUUAGGUAAAUUUUAUAUAUAUUUAUACUAUUUUGAAAAGAAACUUGUAAAAAUUGAAAAAAUAAAACACACAUGGUGUUUUGAACCCAAGACCUCCUCAUUAAUUUCAAACAACAAAACCACAAAUUCUAGUUAAAUUUCUUUGUCAUUGAACCAAAUUUUA